UACGAAGGGGGCUAGCGUUGCUCGGAAUCACUGGGCGUAAAGCGCACGUAGGCGGAUUGUUAAGUCAGGGGUGAAAUCCUGGAGCUCAACUCCAGAACUGCCUUUGAUACUGGCGAUCUCGAGUCCGGGAGAGGUGAGUGGAACUGCGAGUGUAGAGGUGAAAUUCGUAGAUAUUCGCAAGAACACCAGUGGCGAAGGCGGCUCACUGGCCCGGAACUGACGCUGAGACGCGAAAGCGUGGGGAGCAAACAGG
rnacentral:rRNA from 1 species